rnacentral:tRNA from 1 species
AGCCCCGUAGUGUAAAAGAGCUCAUUGAAUUGCAAAUUCAGAGGCGCAGAUUAAAUACCUGCCGGGGCUU